CAAUAGCGUAUAUUAAAGUUGUUGCGGUUAAAAAGCUCGUAGUUGGAUUUCUGCUGAGAACGACCGGUCCGCCCUUUGGGUGUGUAUCUGGCUCUUUCUUGGCAUCUUCUUGGUGAACGUUGCUGCACUUGACUGUGUGGAGCGCUACCCAGGACUUUUACUUUGAGGAAAUUAGAGUGUUUCAAGCAGGCAUACGCCUUGAAUACAUUAGCAUGGAAUAAUAAGAUAGGACCUCGGUUCUAUUUUGUUGGUUUCUAGGGCUGAGAUAAUGAUUAAUAGGGAUAAUUGGGGGCAUCUGUAUCAACGCGUCAGAGGUGGAAUUCUUGGAUUGCGUUGCGACAAACUACUGCGAAAGCAUUUGCCAAGGAUGUUUUCAUUGA
rnacentral:rRNA from 1 species